rnacentral:misc_RNA from 1 species
AACGCAUAUUGCGCUCUCUGGCAUUCCGGAGAGCAUGCUUGUUUGAGUAUCAGUAAAACCUCAAGCUAAAUCUUUUUUUUUUUUUUUUUUUUAAAAAAAGAAAAAGGUGGCUUGGAUUUGAGUAAACCUAACAAAGUUUUUAUGACUGAGGCAGGUUACUUAAAAUAAAGGUGCAGCUGAAUUAUUCUUCUGAGCUAUAAGCAUUAUUUAUUUAGUCAUCUUGACUAUUACUUUUUGCUGCAGCUAACAAUAAAGGUUGAGUAAUUUUAAUAUGCUGACUGAUGCAGGAAUUUCUCAGUUUUUUUUUAAACUGUUAAACUCGAUCUCAAAUCAAGUAAGACUACCCGCUGAACUUAA